rnacentral:rRNA from 1 species
GCCACUGCUAUUGGGAUCCGACUAAGCCAUGCGAGUCGAGAGGGUUCGGCCCUCGGCAGACUGCUCAGUAACACGUGGAUAAUCUACCCUUAGGUGGAGGAUACUCUCGGGAAACUGAGAAUAAUACUCCAUAGGUCUAGGAUGCUGGAAUGCACCUAGGUUGAAAGUUCCGGCGCCUAAGGACGAGUCUGCGGACUAUCAGGUAGUAGUCAGGGUAAAGACCUGACUAGCCUACGACGGAUACGGGUUGUGAGAGCAAUAGCCCGGAGACGAUAUCUGAGACACGAUAUCGGGCCCUACGGGGCGCAGCAGGCGCGAAAUCUUCACAAUGUGCGAAAGCACGAUGAGGGGAUCCCAAGUGUUGGUUCGUAAGAGUCAUCUGUUUCUUUGUCUAAAAAACAGAGAGAGUAAGAGCUGGGUAAGACGGGUGCCAGCCGCCGCGGUAAUACCUGCAGCUCAAGUGGUGGCCGCUAUUAUUGGGCCUAAAACGUCCGUAGCCGGUUUAGUAAAUGCCUGGGUAAAUUGUGUAGCUCAACUAUACGAAUACCGGGUAGACUGCUAAACUUGAAACCGGGAGAGGCUAGAGGUACUCCUAGGGUAGAGGUGAAAUUCUGUAAUCCUAGGGGGACCACCAGUGGCGAAGGCGUCUAGCUAGAACGGGUUUGACGGUGAGGGACGAGGCCCUGGGGCGCAAACCGGAUUAGAUACCCGGGUAGUCCAGGGUGUAAACGCUGCUCGCUUGAUGUUAGUCGGGCUCCGAGCCCAACUAGUGUCGGAGAGAAGUUGUUAAGCGAGCUGCCUGGGAAGUACGGUCGCAAGGCUGAAACUUAAAGGAAUUGGCGGGGGAGCACAGCAACGGGUGGAGCGUGCGGUUUAAUUGGAUUCA